GACGAACGCUGGCGGCGUGCCUAAUACAUGCAAGUCGAACGCUUCUUUCCUCCCGAGUGCUUGCACUCAAUUGGAAAGAGGAGUGGCGGACGGGUGAGUAACACGUGGGUAACCUACCCAUCAAAGGGGGUAAAGCCUUGAAAAGCCGUGGCAAUUCCCGCCUAGCCUUUUAUGCCCGCCUGGGCCUUACGAUUGAAAGGGCGUUUGCCGUUGUGCCGUGAUGGAUUGAGCCCGCCUUGCCUUACGCUACUUGGUGAGGUAAGCCGCUCCGCCAAGGGCCACCAUGGCUUAGCCUACCUAACAGCAUGAAUGCACCAGCAUGGGAAGCUGAGAGCGCGGCCCAGAGUGCUAGCGCGAGGCAGCAGUAGGGAAUGCUGCGGCAAUGGAACGAAAUUCUGACCGAGCAACGCCGCGUGAGUGAAGAAGGUUUUCGGAUCGUAAAACUCUGUUGUUAGAGAAGAACAAGGACUUUAGUAACUGAAGCGUCCCGCUGACGGUAUCUAACCAGAAAGCCACGGCUAACUACGUUCCAGCAGCCGCGGUAAUACGUAGGUUGCAAGCGUUUUCCGGAUUUAUUGGGCGUAAAGCGAGCGCAGGCGGUUUCUUAAGUCUGAUGUGAAAGCCCCCGGCUCAACCGGGGAGGGUCAUUGGAAACUGGGAGACUUGAGUGCAGAAGAGGAGAGUGGAAUUCCAUGUGUAGCGGUGAAAUGCGUAGAUAUAUGGAGGAACACCAGUGGCGAAGGCGGCUCUCUGGUCUGUAACUGACGCUGAGGCUCGAAAGCGUGGGGAGCAAACAGGAUUAGAUACCCUGGUAGUCCACGCCGUAAACGAUGAGUGCUAAGUGUUGGAGGGUUUCCGCCCUUCAGUGCUGCAGCAAACGCAUUAAGCACUCCGCCUGGGGAGUACGACCGCAAGGUUGAAACUCAAAGGAAUUGACGGGGGCCCGCACAAGCGGUGGAGCAUGUGGUUUAAUUCGAAGCAACGCGAAGAACCUUACCAGGUCUUGACAUCCUUUGACCACUCUAGAGAUAGAGCUUUCCCUUCGGGGACAAAGUGACAGGUGGUGCAUGGUUGUCGUCAGCUCGGUCGUGAGAUGUUGGGUUAAGUCCCGCAACGAGCGCAACCCUUAUUGUUAGUUGCCAUCAUUUAGUUGGGCACUCUAGCGAGACUGCCGGUGACAAACCGGAGGAAGGUGGGGAUGACGUCAAAUCAUCAUGCCCCUUAUGACCUGGGCUACACACGUGCUACAAUGGGAAGUACAACGAGUCGCUAGACCGCGAGGUCAUGCAAAUCUCUUAAAGCUUCUCUCAGUUCGGAUUGCAGGCUGCAACUCGCCUGCAUGAAGCCGGAAUCGCUAGUAAUCGCGGAUCAGCACGCCGCGGUGAAUACGUUCCCGGGCCUUGUACACACCGCCCGUCACACCACGAGAGUUUGUAACACCCGAAGUCGGUGAGGUAACCUUUUUGGAGCCAGCAGCCUAAGGUGGGAUAGAUGAUUGGGG
rnacentral:rRNA from 1 species